rnacentral:rRNA from 1 species
UACGGAGGGAGCUAGCGUUGUUCGGGAUUACUGGGCGUAAAGCGCGCGUAGGCGGCUUUGUAAGUUAGAGGUGAAAGCCCGGGGCUCAACCCCGGAACUGCCUUUAAAACUGCAUCGCUUGAAUCCGGGAGAGGUGAGUGGAAUUCCGAGUGUAGAGGUGAAAUUCGUAGAUAUUCGGAAGAACACCAGUGGCGAAGGCGGCUCACUGGACCGGCAUUGACGCUGAGGUGCGAAAGCGUGGGGAGCAAACAGG